UACGAAGGGGGCUAGCGUUGCUCGGAAUCACUGGGCGUAAAGCGCACGUAGGCGGCUUGUUAAGUCAGGGGUGAAAUCCUGGAGCUCAACUCCAGAACUGCCUUUGAUACUGGCGAGCUUGAGUUCGGGAGAGGUGAGUGGAACUGCGAGUGUAGAGGUGAAAUUCGUAGAUAUUCGCAAGAACACCAGUGGCGAAGGCGGCUCACUGGCCCGAUACUGACGCUGAGGAGCGAAAGUCAGGGGAGCAAACGGG
rnacentral:rRNA from 1 species